UACGUGGGGGGCAAGCGUUGUCCGGAAUUAUUGGGCGUAAAGAGCGUGUAGGCGGUCCGGUAAGUCAGCUGUGAAAGUCAAGGGCUCAACCCUUGAAUGCCGGUUGAUACUGUCGGGCUAGAGUCCGGAAGAGGCGAGUGGAAUUCCCGGUGUAGCGGUGAAAUGCGUAGAUAUCGGAAGGAACAUCAGUGGCGAAAGCGACUUCCUGGACCAAUACUGACGCUCAUGUGCGAAAGCGUGGGGAGCAAACAGG
rnacentral:rRNA from 1 species